rnacentral:lncRNA from 1 species
UUUUCAGUGAUGUCACUGCAAGACGCUUGGCUGAAAAAUAUUCUCUGGCAGUACUAAACAACACACAAAAAAAAGGUAUGUGGGAUGUUUAUGUGAUUCUGCAAGUCUUUCAACUUAAAAUAAUGUUUGCAUUUUUUUUUUCCUGUUACUCAUUUACCCAUAGUCAGUUCAAAUUCUUAGAAUAAUUUCAUUGCAGAACUUGUACAGAUGAUCCACAUGCUGUUCUGAUCAAUUCCAUUACCGAGAUGCCAUGUAUAAAUGGAUUCCAUUUUUUCCUCUUUUUAAGCCUCUUUGCAUAUAUUUCAACAGCACUAUCAUAAUAUUUAGAUGGGUGCAUGAGAGGGAACCUUAAAUUUAGCUAGAAAAACUCGUACAUAAUUACUGGCUUUCUCAGUUUUGUUGACUGGACAGUGGAAAAGACAGACUGGUGGUGUGAGAACAAAUAUUUUAAGGAUGGGAUAAAUGAUAGUGAUAGAUUUGUAUGUCCUCGUUUGUCUCCCUCCCGAGCACCCAUUAACUGUUGCAAUGUCUGUUCUUUCUGAGUGGAAAGGAGACCAUGUGGUGCUCAGAAGAACAAGAGGGAUAUGGCCUCAGAGAUUUGCCUGAAGAUCAUGGAAGACCCAAGGCAGAUCUUGGAAGGGAGGUCUCUCAGAAGGUUAUCUCCUUUUGUAGCCAUUGGCUCAUUCAUCCUCCCUGCCUGCCUUGUGACUGUACAGCAAAGCAAACAGGAACCAUAUGAAGGAGGAAGCAAUUUGCCAAUACAAUGCUAUCUUGUGAAAAUCAAAUAAAUGGUGCACAGUCGACAUGCCACAGCUGAUGCCAUUGCACCUCUUCUACUGUAUCCUUCAGGCUGUGUAGUGAAAAACAUACUCCAGAGGACACAGUACAGCAUCCCAACGGUUCAUAGCAUUUCCCUUAUGAAACAGAGGCUUUGCCUGACCAGGAAGCAAAUGCAGUUAAUUAAUGGAUCAGUUUCUCUGUACCACCCUUACAUUCCUGUGAGAAUAUUACUUCAGAACUGGAGGACGUGACCCUUCAUAGCUACACAGAGCAACACAGAUCUACAUGUGUUACUCUCUUAGCAUGAAGUAGGAGAACUCCUAGAUGUUUGGAUACUUAAAUUGUUUACUGUCCUCUCCUUCUUGCCUAGAAAAAAGAAAAAAAAAGAAAAGUUUCAGUUGUUCAUUCAGCCUUAUUCACUUGUCACAGCAAUUAAACAGAAAGCCGCUCAAAGUUACAGAAGAAAACUAUUCCUUGUGCUUUUCCUGUUUCAGUUAUGCAUGGCUGGCAAGGAAUCUUGCUAAUUGAAACAUUCAUUUAGGCUCUUUGGCACCCUUCCUUCCCUUCCUGCCUCCACAUCCUCUGAGACUGAAAUGACAUCUGGGGUGUGGGUUCCAUGUCACUGGUGCCAGUGCACUCCAACCUGCAAGCAAAAUUUAACCUUUAUCAGGUGCUCCGUUUAUGGUUAGUAACAAUAAAAAAUAGUCCCGGCAGGAGCA